ncrna:Salmonella enterica subsp. enterica serovar Typhi str. E00-7866 STAXI RNA
CGUUGCCUUAGGCAACCACCAAUGUUCCAGUGAUCUGAGAGGAACGCCUUUGGGUGAUCACAUAACCAAUGUUCCGGCAAUCUGAGAGGAACGCCUUCGGGUGAUUGCACACCAAUGUCACCGUAGCCUGAGAGGUGACGCCUUCGGGUGGUACAGC